AGCGAACGCUGGCGGCAGGCUUAACACAUGCAAGUCGAGCGGGCCCUUCGGGGUCAGCGGCGGACGGGUGAGUAACGCGUGGGAACGUGCCUUCUGGUCUGGAAUAACCCUGGGAAACUAGGGCUAAUACCGGAUACGCCCUUCUGGGGAAAGGUUUACUGCCGGAAGAUCGGCCCGCGUCUGAUUAGCUAGUUGGUGGGGUAACGGCCUACCAAGGCGACGAUCAGUAGCUGGUCUGAGAGGAUGAUCAGCCACACUGGGACUGAGACACGGCCCAGACUCCUACGGGAGGCAGCAGUGGGGAAUAUUGGACAAUGGGCGCAAGCCUGAUCCAGCCAUGCCGCGUGAGUGAUGAAGGCCUUAGGGUUGUAAAGCUCUUUUAUCCGGGACGAUAAUGACGGUACCGGAGGAAUAAGCCCCGGCUAACUUCGUG
rnacentral:rRNA from 1 species